rnacentral:rRNA from 1 species
GUCCGAGGCCGUACCACCCAGGCCAUACCCAAUCUUGCCUGAUCUCAGAAGCUAAGCAGGGUCGGGCCUGGUUUAGUACUUGGAUGGGAGGAGACAAAAGGCUUUUGUCU